rnacentral:lncRNA from 1 species
AUGGAUCCAGUCAUGCCUGCCAGUAAGAAGGCCAAGAGCUCAGGAAUCAGUGUGUCCAGUGGACUGAGUCAGCGUUACCGGGGCAGCGGUUUCUCCAAGGCCCUCCAGGAAGACAAUGAUCUUGACUUCCCUCUGCCCGACUUCUGAUUAGAAGAGGGGGCCAUGGAAGAUGAAGAGAUGACCAACCUGAACUGGCUGCAUGAGAGCAAGAACUUGCUAAAGAGCUUUGGGGAGUCGGUCCUUAGGAGUGUCAGUUCUGUGCAGGACCUAGACAAUGAUACCCCGCUAUCCCCUGCCCACUCGGACAUGUCCUAUGAUACCAGGCAGAACCCCAACUGCAAGCCCCCUUACUCCUUUAGCUGCCUCAUAUUUAUGGCCAUGGAGGACUCUCCGACCAAGCGCCUUCCAGUGAAGGACUUCUACAACUGGAUCUUAGAACAUUUCCCGUAUUUUGCAAAUGCACCUACUAGGUGGAAAAACUCAGUGAGACAUAACUUGUCAUUGAAUAAGUGUUUCAAGAAAGUGGACAACGAGAGGAGUCAGAAUAUUGGGAAAACGUCAUUGUGGUGCAUAGACCCAGAGUAGACAAAAUCUAAUUCAGGCUUUGAAAAAGACACCUUACCACCUACCUCCUACUCCUCAGGAUUAUCAAAGGACAUCAGGUCCACCCAUCUGGCCGGGCAGUACCUUCUUCAAGAGAAAUGGAGCCUUUCUGCAAGAUCCUGACAUUGAUGCUGCCAGUGCCAUGGUGCUUUUAAAUUCUGCCCCUGAGAUACAAGCAGAUUUUUCUCCGGGAGUGAUACAAAAUGGAGUGAGGGUUCUGAGCUGAGGGCUGUUUCCUGGUUUCCGGACUUUACCAAUUACUCCCAUUGGGAUGACGGCAGCCAUAAAGGAAUAGCAUCACCAGUUGCCAGAUGCGGACUGAGAGAGAGCCGCCAUGUGGCUCCCCAGUGGUCAGUGGCGAUCAGAAGGAGGACCACAACUACAGUAGUGCCAAGUCCUCCACUGCCCAGAGCACCUCUCCCACCAGCGACUCCAUCUCCUCUUCCUCCUCCUCAGCCAAUGACCACUAUGAGUUUGCUACGAAGGGGAGCCAGGAGGGCAGUGAGGGAAGCUUCCAGAGCCAUGAAAGCCACAGUGAACCAGAGGAGGAGGACCGGAAACCCAGUCCGAAGGAGGGCAAGGAUGCCCUGGGGAACAGCAGAUACUCAUCCCAGCACAAGAAGCACCAGCACUUCGCCAAGGCCAGGAAGGUCCCCAGCGACACACUGCCCCUCAAAAAAGAGACUACUGAGAAGCCUCAGAGUGACAAGGAGGAGAUGAAGGAGGCAGCCAGUUCGCUCCUGCACUUAGCAGGGAUUCCGUCCUGUUUGAACAACAUCACCAAUCAGAUGGCCAAGGGGCAGAAAGAACAAAAGGAAACCGCAAAAAAAUUGA